GACCGACGGCUGGCCACCGUGCGCGAUGGUUCUGGCGGUGGCUCCGGUGGGCUAUGGAGAUGAUUCAACUUCCAGAGGCUUCCUCAUAAAUUUUUGGAAUUUUUGAGACACAGAUAAACUUCGGGUGAUCGAGGUCAGCUAUUUUUCUACAUCCAGCAGCCACAAUAGUCAUCGGUGUACUGCCACAGGAGGAGUUAUUUUACAGAGCAACCUGUUUUCUUCCUCGCAGGUUUAACGUCGAUUAUUUAAUUGUUUUACUAUCUUUUCUAAAUUUAAAAUCUAGAACUCCGCAUGUGUUAGAAAUAGUGUGGACCUUGGUAGAGGUUGCGUUAAUUUAAAUUUUUGAGAUUAAUAAAUAAAGAAGAUUUGUAUGGUAUUUAAACAGUUUGUAA